UCAUUUAUUUUUUGAUUUGAUUUAUCUAAAUUUGAUAGUGGUAGUUUCAGGUCUCCCACUAGUAUAGUUUUACUAUCUAUUUCCUCCUUCAAUUCUAGUAGUUUUUCCAUUAGAACUUUGGAUGCUAUACCAUUUGAUGCAUACAUGUUGAUUAGUGAUAUUUACUCACUGUCUAUACUCCCUUUUAUCAGUAUGUAUUUACCUUCCCUAUCCCUUUUAAUCAGAUCUAUUUUUACUUUGGCUUUGUCAGAUAUCAUGAUUGCAACUCCUGCUUUCUUUCUAUCACUUGAGGCCCAAUAGGUCUUGUUCCAGCCUUUAAUUCUGACAUUGUGAUUAUCUACCCACCUCAUGUGUGUUUUUUGUAGACAACAUAUGGUAGGAUUUUGGAUUCAAAUCCACUCUCCUAUUCAUCUACGUUUUAUGAGUGAGUUCAUUCCAUUCACGUUCAAAGUUAUGAUUGUCACUUGUGAAUUCCCUAGCAUUGUAAUAUCCUUUCCUUGUUCUUUCCUUUCUUCUUUUGCUAUAUCCUUUUAAACCAGUGGUUUACUUUUAAUCAAUCCCCCUAAUCCCCUCCCUUGAUAUGCUUCCCUUUCUGGUCCCUCCCUUUUUGUUCCCUUCUUUUUUUUUAGUGUCUGUUAUGUUCCCUCCCCUCUCUCCUUCCCUCCAUUUUUUUGUACUCCCCACCCCCCUUAGUUUUCCCUUCUCACUUACCCUGUAGGAUAAGAUAGAAUUCAAUAUCCCAAUGGAUCUAGAUGCUCUUCCCUCUCAGAGAUGAUUUCACUGAGAGUAAGGUUUAAGUAUUACCUAUUAGAACUCUCUUCCUCUCCUUCUUAUAAGAGUAUUCUUCCCCUCCCCUUCCCAUGCAUAUUUUUGUGUGAAAUAGAUCAUUCUAUCUAUUUUAUUUCUUCAAGUAUCUUUGGUACCAUCUUCAAUCCCCCCCCACACUUUUUUUUUUUGGCAUAUCAUCUUAUAGCCCUUAAUGCUCCAAUCUUUUCCUAUGAGUGAUUCUUCUAAUUGCUAUAAUAAUGAAUACAAUUUUUGAGAGUUACAAAUAACAUUUUCCCUAUAUAUUAAUAUAUAUAAUUUGAUGUAAUUGUAGCCCUUAAAGAAGAGUUUGAAUAAAACAUUUUUUUCUCCUUUUCCCUCUCUUACUUACUUUUCCAUGUUUCUCUUGAUCUUUGUGUUUGGAUGUCAAACUUUCCACUUAGUUCUGGUUUUUUCUUUACAAAUACUUGGAAAAUCUUCUGUUUUGUUGAAUGCCCAUACUUUCCCCUGGAAGCAUAUAGCCAGUUUUGAUGGAUAGGUGAUACUUGGUUGAAUACCCACUUCUCUUGCCUUUCUCAAUAUCAUGUUCCGGGCCUUGUAGUCCUUUAGUGUGGAAACUGACAGGUCUUGUGUGAUCCUGAUUGGUGCUCCUUGGUAUCUGAAUUGUCUCUUUUUGGCUUCUGUAGAAUUUUCUCCUUAGCUUGAAAGCUCUGGAAUUUGGCAAUUACAUACAUUCCUAGGAGUUGUCUUUUGAGGAUUUAGUGUAGAGGGUGUUCUAUGAACUCUUUGAAUGUCUAUUUUGCCCCCUUGUUCAAGAACACCAGGACAGUUUUCUUGGAUGAUUUCUUGUAGUAUGAUGUCAAGAUUUCUGUUUAUUUCUGGCUUUUCAGGUAGACCAAUGAUUCUCAAAUUGUCUCUCCUUCCUCUGUUUUCCUGAUCUGUCACCUUGUCAGUGAGAUAUUUUAUGUUUUCUUCUAUUUUGUCAGUCUUUUGAUUUUGCUUUAUUAAUUCUUGCUGUUUUGCAAGAUCAUUGAUUUCCAGUUGCUCAAUUCUGGUCCUUAAGGCCUGGUUUUCUGCUUUAACCUUUUGAUUUUCUGCUAUAAUUUUUUGGUUUUCUGCUGUAAUGUUUUGAUUUUCUUUUUAAACUAUUUCCCACUUCUCAUGCCAGAAGGCUUCCAUCUUUUUGAAAAGCUCCAAUUUAAAUUCUUCCAGAGAUUGUGUACAAUUUCCAUUUUUUAAAGAAUGUUUUAUCUUUGUUUGAAUUUCCUCCUGUGUUUCCUCUGUAGCCUGGGUUUUUCCUCCAUAAAAAAAUUUGAGGGUUACUGCUUUUUUUUUUUUUUUUGCUUUUUAUGGAGGGAGUUUGGGGGUCCUGUGAGCAAUUAGCCAUCAUUGUGGGGGAUUUCCCUUCCCUUUUUAGUCAGAAAUCUGAGUGAGCUGGGCAGGUUCUCUGUGUAUGGAGUUAAGGAGCAAGGAUUUUGCCUGAGCCAAGCUCUUGAAUCACCACAACUGUUUGCAGGUCUGUACUACUUUCCUGGGGGCACCCACAGUCUGUGUUCCCCCUCCCGCCAGGGUUUCCAGUGUAGCUGCUCUCAGGGGUAGGUCUUUGGUGGUCUUAGUCAGCUCCCAGGGACCUAGAGGUGCCCCUUGCUCACUCUAGAGGUGCCCCUCCCUCACUUGCUGAUUCUGGCACACGAUGGCUCUGAGCAUCCAAGGUCUAUGCUCUCCCGCCCACCUGAGUUUCAGUGUGUCUAUUCUCAGGGGUAGGUCUUUGGUGGUCUUAGUCAGCUCCCAGGAACCUAGAGGUGACCCUUGCUUGCUCUAGAGGUGCCCCUCACUCACUCGCUGAUUCUGGCAUGCACUGGCUUUGACUCUGGCUCCAACUCUGACUCUGUAGGUGGGGUGGGGGAGGGUAGAUCAGCUCUACUCCCUGGGUUGGAGUUUUUUCACCCUCUUAUAGUGUGGAAAUGCCCAAAUCCCAUGUUCCUUCAAUGCUGUGCCCUACUGUAUGGUCCCUCCAUUCUUAUGAAAAUGGUUUUAAUGGUCUUUUGAGGUAUUCUAUAUUGGUGGGUGCUGGGGAGAUAAGCGUCCCACAUCUAGACUGCUGCCAUGCUUACUUGGAAGUUUCUCAAAUUUUUUAAAGAUAGAAUUCUCAAAUAUUUUUAAAGAUAGCCUUGAAGUAAAGAUAAUAAGUUUACUCAGUCUCUGCCCAUCAUGAGGGUCAGGUGGCCAGGUCUCCCUGUGCUCCUGCCUGCCUACCUGCCUGUUUUCCUCCUAUUUGCUUGAGCCAGUGCUCCACCCACUGUUACUACUGCUGUUGUAGCUGCUGCCUCUGUUUUUCUGCUUCCUGUCUCCCAGCCCUGCUGCUCCUACCACCCUCAUGCAAACUAGUUCAGUGUGCUGCUCCAUUGCCACCUCCCACUGCUAUCUCUGAGUCUCUGUGCAGAGGGUGAUGUAUAAAAAUCUUUCCACACCAAUUUCUUUCCACACUCCACGUGGGUAUUCUAGCCUGCCCUAGCCAUUUUUCAGCGUGGAGAAGCAAAACUGCACUAUUCUAGUUUUUUUAAGCAGGAUUUCUUAAGAUGAGCCUGGGUUCCUGGCUGAGAGAGAAACUUGCAACUCAAGAUUUUUCACAGGAAGGAGAGUCCCCUGCUGUUUUUUUUUCCCCUUUCCAUCUUAUAACUCAACAUAGCAGGGAGGGCAGUUAGUCUAAACCAGUAGAUUUAAAGCCAGAAUUUUGGGGAAUAAGCCUGAUUUUUUUCUCUUGACCCACUAUAGUAAGCAAAGAAAGAGUGCAUUUGAUUGAAGGGAGCAUGUGACACAGAAUCACAUGAGAUCCUGGGUCAAGAUUCAAGGGGGUUGUGGUCCCAACUGAAAUCAGACUUCUUGCUGAAGCUCUUGGAAGUAACUGUGAUUUCCACCUUUCUACAAGAUUUCUGGCCCUCUGUGAUAUACCAGCUUGAGGAGAGAGAGACUUAAACAGGCUUCUGGCAGCUAGAUAGAAGACCAAAGAAGAACCAUCAGAUCUCUUCUGGACUUGAUUUGGACUUUGCCUCUGGGAUAUUGGCCUAUUUCUGGACUCAGUUUGUGAGGUUCUGUUUGGGGGGAACUUAAUUUAUUUAGCUUAGAUAAUUUAGCCAAUAGGAUAGUAUUAAGAGAAAUUAGUUUUGGGGAUAAGAUUAACAGAUUUUCCUCCUCCUUUGUUACCCUCAUUCCUAUCCCAUUUCCGCAAGAAUACUUAAAAUAUUUAGAUGAUUACUUCUUGUCUCUUCCCCUUAAACAUCCCACUAUAACAACACCAAGGAGUACUCUUUCUCUCAUUUGCAAAUACGCUAUUGUUGUUCCUCACAGUUUUUGCCCUUAGUGAAUAGAGAACAGAAGAAUAGCUCCUAAAAGCCCUUCAGCAAAAAACCCUAAAAGAACAAAAAAAGUCUCUUUACCUUCUAGUCAGGGUCUUCUUUUGUUUAACUUUUACUUAAGGAGUAAACUUUUUACUUCUUAGUAAAGUAUGCAGUACUUAAUUAAGUAAAUCAUGGCUCACUUUAUGAAAGAGCAGUGUAUUACCCAUCUGAAGCAGCUCAAAGUUUUGGAGUGUCUUUUAUUACUACUGUUCCUGGGUGCACUGGUCCUUGAGUUUAGCUUGAAUAAUCCUGAGAUUCAAAGGGGAGAUUCAUCUUCCUACACACCUUUGGCAUUUGAGCCUGCCCAACCUCUACAAUACAUCCAGUUUGAGAUUCCUCCAUACUAUAUUCAAUACGGAAUUCUCCCUCACUAUGACAAACUUCAGAACUCCAAUAAAAGAAAUGCAAAUGGAUGGUAAAGACUGGGGGAGAGGAAGAAACUUCCUGAGAUUUGGAGGUGAAUUUCAAACUUUUUAAGACUUGUUUUAUUGCUUCCUAACCACUAUCAGUUUCUUCCUCUCUAUAAUAGUAAACAAGUCUAUUGAAUUGGUGAAAAGGAUUUUGACAGCACUGCCUGCAUGUACAUUUGUCAUUGUUGUAUUUAAUGAUUUUUUUAAGGUUUAACCUUUUUAACUUCAUAUAUUAUUAAUCUAAUCAAUACUAUUUUGUUACAUGAUUCUUCAUUUUGUACCUUUUCUGAAGAACAAAAUAUCAUUGUAAAAGCCCAUGAACAUCUUGCCCAAACAUUUGUCAUUAUAUCCAUCAAAGAUCACAUGUUUCCUUAAAAGCCUUUUCUGCCUUUUUGCCUUUGUUAAUUGUCACAUAGAUGAUGAUGAAUGGACUUCAUCAAAACUGGUUACAAUUGCAUACAAUUUUUGGAGAAUUUAAUAAGCUAAGAAUUUAAAUUAUAAUUUUAAGGGGUCUUUAGAAAUGAUUUUUAGAUAACUAGUAGCUUCUGAAUGGAUUCUUUACUAUAUAUAUGUGUAUUUUAAUACAACAUUCAUAUAUAUAGUAAAGAAUGUUGUAGUAAAGGUAGAAAACCAAAUAGAAGUUCCUGCCAGAGGAAAAAUUGUUUAUAUAAAGCAGAAAGUCAAAAAGAGCUUCUGCAUAACCCUCCAGUUUAAUCUACUUCCACUGAAAAAUCUAGAUUUCUUGGUGAUGUUAUAGAUUCCAAAUAAGUUUUCCUGAGCAAUUCAGAGGUUUGUGUUUGGUUUUUUUUAGUAUCUUCUGCCAAAUUUUGAAAUAAUGGCAAUAAUAGACUUUGUUUAAAAAUAUCUUUGCCGGGGGCAGCUGGGUAGCUCAGUGUGUUGAGAGGCAGGCCUAGAGACGGGAGGUCCUAGGUUCAAAUAUGACCUCAGACACUUCCCAGUUGUGUGACCCUGGGCAAGUCACUUGAUCCCCAUUGCCUAGCCCUUACCACUCUUCUGCCUUGGAGCCAAUACACAGUAUUGACUCUAAGACAGAAGGUAAGGGUUUAAAAAAAAAUAUCUUUGCCAAGGUUGAAAGAUUUGCUACAUCUGUAAAAAUUGUGACAAAUAUCCAUCCGUUCAUAGGUUUUUAAAAAUGUCACACAGCAACUCAUGUGAAAUAUGAUAGUGGGUUUAUGAGGAAUUUGAUACUUUCUUUAAAUGUGCAUUAUUUACUCUACUACUGUAUUACUGUUUUAUUCUGAAAAUCAUUUGUAUUCAUACAGUGAUUCAUAGUCAAGUUUGAAAAGGAAAUGGAUCCCAUUUUUGGAUGAGAAACCUUUGUAUUCUACUUUUCCUUGGCACUGACUGGAUUGUAAGCUGUCACUGAUUUGUGGUAAGCUUUCGGUAGUCCUGUUUACUGAUUGGGAUAAGAAAUGAAAGACUACCUCCCCAAAUCCAGAAAGUGAACUGUUUGGAGAAGGCACCCUGAGGAUGCCUUCAGAGACCACUGCUGCACCAGAAGACCCAGAGUGAACUUUGGGAUAUGGCAAAUUUGAACUUUGGGAGGGUUGUUUUGCAUGUAUUCUCUUAUGCCAAAGGGGACUGCUCUAAAAUUGGCUUUUUUGUCAAUGUAGCAAUCAUUGAUUUUGUUCUCUUUUCCUUUUGUCCACAAAUUAUUGCCAUUUAUGAGUUAGUUAUGUUUCCAUGAUCCUUUUUGGGGAGACUGGUCUCCCAAUAGGACCACAGCAGGGAAUGUAUAAGAGGAAUUUUGAAGCCUUGGACUUCAUCCCCCAGAAGUCCUUCAGUAUUUCCCAGAAUUCCUCUCCUCUCUCCACCACAUUGUGUGGUCAUGUUUGUAUUUAAGUUUGCUAUAACUCCUCCCUUGCUCUCUUCUUUCAUAAGGGAGCUGGGUGGUUUCAUUCUUUUACUUUAGUUAUUAUUAAUAAAACUUUUAAAAUGUAA